rnacentral:rRNA from 1 species
AGAGUUUGAUCCUGGCUCAGGAUGAACGCUAGCUACAGGCUUAACACAUGCAAGUCGAGGGGUCAGUCAUUUUAGUUUGCUUGCAACUAAAGAUGGCGACCGGCGCACGGGUGAGUAACACGUAUCCAACCUGCCGAUAACUCGGGGAUAGCCUUUCGAAAGAAAGAUUAAUAUCCGAUGGUAUAUUAAAACCGCAUGGUUUUACUAUUAAAGAAUUUCGGUUAUCGAUGGGGAUGCGUUCCAUUAGUUUGUUGGCGGGGUAACGGCCCACCAAGACUACGAUGGAUAGGGGUUCUGAGAGGAAGGUCCCCCCACAUUGGAACUGAGACACGGUCCAAACUCCUACGGGAGGCAGCA